UAGUACGAGAGGACCGGAGUGGACGCAUCACUGGUGUUCGGGUUGUCAUGCCAAUGGCACUGCCCGGUAGCUAAAUGCGGAAGAGAUAAGUGCUGAAAGCAUCUAAGCACGAAACUUGCCCCGAGAUGAGUUCUCCCUGAGACUUUAGGUCUCCUGAAGGAACGUUGAAGACGACGACGUUGAUAGGCCGGGUGUGUAAGCGCAGCGAUGCGUUGAGCUAACCGGUACUAAUGAACCGUGAGGCUUAACCUU
rnacentral:rRNA from 2 species